AUGUCAAAGGGUAAAAAUUGUUCAGACGGUUUUGUGUUUUCCUUUACCAUCAAAUUCACUGAGGGCACACCAACCUACAGAGAUGUGAUCGAGCAGGUCAAGUCUAACAUGAGGAAACUGAGCAACGAUGUCACAUACUUCCGUAAGGUACACUGGAAGGAAUGGAAGCUGUUUGAACAAACCCAGAAGGAGAUGAACACUGAAUUCAACAGAAAAGUGAAAGAAGUCAUGGCAAAAGAAAAAAAGAAGCUAAGUCAAAAUUUCAUCCCCACUUCAGUUGUCCAGGAGGGACUUGAUGAUCCUACUGGAAAAGUCCUUACAACAGAUGAACUCCUUGGAAAGGCUGAUUACUCAGUAUCCAGUUUAAAAAUGAAAAGUUAUGCCUAAAACUGUGAAAUGAGUUAGUAAUCCUCCACAGUUCCUUAAGCCAUACACCCAUCCAGGGCCCUGGAGGCUUUGGCAAAUAGAGGCUCCCAGAGGCAGAUUGCUAGGAGUGGAGACCUUAUGAACUUGGGAAGAAACCCAGAUAAGUAAGUCACUCCAACUUAAAUGUGAGCCCACCAUCAAGGAUUUUAUUUCGAAGUUCAAUAGUUCCAAAAUAGAGCUUAUUAUCUUCUUUCUCCAGCCCAUCCUUCCCUUUCUAAACUGCCCAAGAUGCGCCGUAUUCUGGGUCACCCCUUCUGAAGCUCUAGAUUGUCUUUCUUUAGUUUUUCUUCUCAUCUUUACAGCCUGACUUCCAAAGUAUCUUUCACACCUGUCCCCUUGUUGAGCCCUUUAUUACCUCGACCUUGGCCUAUUGUAAUAACCCCUUGCCUCUCUCCUUUCCAACUUACCUGUUUUUUUAAAAAUCGUAUGUUUUAUUUGAAUACCAUUUGAUAACAUAUUUUGAUGGAUUCAGUAGACAAAUCAAGCCAUGACAAAAUACAUUCACUGAAAGCAAUUAAGCUAUUUGAGAGAUGGCACUAAUAGUCCAGGUUAUGUUCUGUUAAGUUGAGUAGUUGUGGGCAGGUAGGGUAGCACAGUAGAUAGAGUACCAGGCUAGAGUCAGGAAGAUUCAUCUUCCUGAGUUCAAAUCUGACCUCAAACACUUACUAGCUGUGGUCCUGCUCCUAGGCAAGUCCCUUAUCCCUCUUGGCCUCAAUUAAAAAAAAAAUCAAAUAGUUGUUAACAGAAAGAAGGCACAUGUUUCAAGCAGAACUUCAAGUUGAAUUUGUUAAGUGCUGCCUUGAUUUGCCUUAUUGUGGUCAUUGUAAAUUUUUUGACUUUCUUUUCUUCAUUCUGCAUUCUUUCAUCUUGAGUCUUCCCAUGUUCCUCUACAUUCUUCCUAUUUCUUUUUCUUUCAAGAACAGUCAUCCACAGCAUUCCACAGAGCACACUUUGUUCCAGCAUUCCUUAAUUAUGGGGCAUAUAUUUUGUUACCACAAAUAAUGCUGCUAGGAACGUUUAUUUACUCAGGGGGCUUUUCUUGUUCUUAAUUCCUUCUGGUAUAAUAAGCCUCCUAGUGGUAUCUCUGCUUUAAAGUUGUUCCUUCCAGUUCAUCACCUACACUUCCCUUCCCUAUACCUUUCCUCUCCUUCAGCUGUUCACAGGGAUGAGCUAUGCCUCCAGCAUGAUUCUCAUCUCUGAGAUUCUCUCCCUGUAGAAGUUCCCAUUCUUUCAUACCUCACUCUUCUGCUUCACUCCUCAAUCUAUUCUUUAUCCUCAUUGCAAUCUCCAAUGUCUCUUCCUCCCUGUUCUUCAAGUCCAUCAGCCUUGCCCUGGACUCCUUUUUGGGCCUUCAUAGUCUCAGUCAACUAUAUCCUGUUCCCUGCCCCUAUUUACCUUGCCUACUUUUCCUGCUGCCAUUAGGGGUUUGCCAGGUCUCAGCCCUGGACUAGCCCCAGCAUCCAUCAUCCCUGCUCACAGAACUAACCCUUUCUGAGGAGAAAAUAACUUACUUGUUUGCUAACUGGCAAAUUAAGAUAGAUUUCACCCUCACCCUAUAAAUAGAUUAUACAAUUUUGAUUUUUUUUGUCUAGAGCAAUUGUCUAUACUUUUUUUGUUUGUUUUUUAAACCCUUAUCUUCCUUCUUAGAAUCAACACUGUAUAUUGGCAAAAGAGCAGUAAGGGCUAGGCAAUGGGGUAUUAUAAGGAGUUUUAUUAGGUUCAUUCUGUCUCAUUAAGAGCAGAAGUUUUAUUAAUAUCACGCUGUCUCCUUUAAGAGAGAGAGCAGGCAGAUCUUGCUUCCAAAAAACUUUAAGGGGCCUAUAGUAAAAGAAUUCUGUGAGUUCUGGGUCCAGUCUCUCUGACUUCCUUGGGAGCAGGUUCCUGGAUCAUUCUCUUAUACAAGAAGAUCUGUUAGUUAUUUGAGACAGUGGUCUUUGAGAAGUUUGAUUAACACAUACAAAACUGAGGAAGAGUAUUUCAUUGAGAGCUUUUCUUCCGAAGGGGGAGAAGCUAUCUGAGUGUCUGUCCACUCCCUCUGACUUCAGAGCAGGGCCUGUGUCAGCUGUUCUCUGCCAAGAGAUUCCGACAGUUGGCUGUGGCAGUUGGAGUUGACAAGAACUGCUACUUUAAGGAGGUUUAAAGAAGAAAGAUUUAUUAAUUAAUGAACAUGAAUUAUCAUAGGUUUAGUUAUGUAGAAAUAUUAAUUUAGAUUAGUGAGAAGAGUGUAAGUAGGUCUGCUCUGCAGACAAGAAGACACUGCAAAGAAAGCAGUUAGUUUGGUUUAUUUAGAGAUUUUAGUAUAAGGUUAAUAGAUUUCCUAUCCUGUUCCUAACUCCUAGUUUCUAUCCUUCUAUUUCCUCUCCCUACUUCUAUCUAGAAAUAAAGAAGGGUUGUAUCCAACUGCUUCUGGCCUU
ensembl:lncRNA